rnacentral:rRNA from 1 species
AGCGAACGCUGGCGGCAGGCCUAACACAUGCAAGUCGAACGAACCUUUCGGGGUUAGUGGCGGACGGGUGAGUAACACGUGGGAACGUGCCUUUAGGUUCGGAAUAACUCAGGGAAACUUGUGCUAAUACCGCAUGUGCCCUUCGGGGGAAAGAUUUAUCGCCUUUAGAGCGGCCCGCGUCUGUUUAGCUAGUUGGUUGAGGUAAUGGCUCACCAAGGCGACGAUCCGUAGCUGGUCGGGGAGGAGGCUUAGCCACAUUGGGACUGAGACACGGCCCAAACUCCUACGGGAGGCAGCAGUGGGGAAUCUUGCGCAAGGGGCGAAAGCCUGACGAAGCCAUGCCGCGUGAAUGAUGCAGGUCUUAGGAUUGUAAAAUUCUUUCACCGGGGACGAUAAUGACGGUACCCGGAGAAGAAGCCCCGGCUAACUUCGUG